GUAGGGUGCGAGCGUUAUCCGGAAUCAUUGGGCGUAAAGAGCUCGUAGGCGGUUCAGCAAGUCGGCUGUGAAAUUCCGAGGCUCAACCUCGGAACUGCAGUCGAUACUGCUGUGACUCGAGUCCGGUAGAGGAGAAUGGAAUUCAGGGUGUAGCGGUGAAAUGCGCAGAUAUCCUGAGGGACACCAGUAGCGAAGGCGGUUCUCUGGGCCGGUACUGACGCUGAGGAGCGAAAGCGUGGUAGCAAACAGGAUUAGAUACCCUGGUAGUCCCACGCCGUAAACGUUGGGACACUAGGUGUGGCGUUCCGACCAACGGGUGCCCGUGCCGAAGCUAACGCAUUAAGUGUCCCCGCCUGGGGAGUACGGCCGCAAGGCUA
rnacentral:rRNA from 1 species